rnacentral:rRNA from 1 species
UGCCAGCCGCCGCGGUAAUACGGAGGGUGCAAGCGUUAAUCGGAAUUACUGGGCGUAAAGCGCGCGUAGGUGGUCAAGUCAGUCGGAUGUGAAAGCCCUGGGCUCAACCUGGGAAUGGCAUUCGAUACUGCAGAGCUAGAGUAUGGUAGAGGGAAGUGGAAUUUCCGGUGUAGCGGUGAAAUGCGUAGAUAUCGGAAGGAACACCGGUGGCGAAGGCGACUUCCUGGGCCAAUACUGACGCUGAGGCGCGAAGGCGUGGGUAGCAAUCAGGAUUAGAUA